rnacentral:rRNA from 1 species
CUACGGGAGGCAGCAGUAGGGAAUCUUCCACAAUGGACGCAAGUCUGAUGGAGCAACGCCGCGUGAGUGAAGAAGGUUUUCGGAUCGUAAAGCUCUGUUGUUGGUGAAGAAGGAUAGAGGUAGUAACUGGCCUUUAUUUGACGGUAAUCAACCAGAAAGUCACGGCUAACUACGUGCCAGCAGCCGCGGUAAUA